GGUCAGGACGAACGCUGGCGGCGUGCCUAACACAUGCAAGUCGAGCGAGGAGAUUCCUUCGGGAUGAUCCUAGCGGCGGACGGGUGAGUAACACGUGGGCAACCUGCCUCAUAGAGAGGAAUAGCCUUCCGAAAGGGAGAUUAAUACCUCAUAACAUUGCAGUUUCGCAUGGAACAGCAAUUAAAGGAGUAAUCCGCUAUGAGAUGGGGCCCCGCGGCGCAUUAGCUAGUUGGUGAGGUAACGGCUCACCAAGGCGACGAUGCGUAGCCGACCUGAGAGGGUGAUCGGCCACAUUGGGACUGAGACACGGCCCAGACUCCUACGGGAGGCAGCAGUGGGGAAUAUUACACAAUGGGGGAAACCCUGAUGCAGCCAACGCCGCGUGAGUGAUGACGGCCUUCGGGUUGUAAAGCUCUGUCUUCAGGGACGAUAAUGACGGUACCUGAGGAGGAAGCCACGGCUAACUACGUGCCAGCAGCUGC
rnacentral:rRNA from 1 species